UACGUAGGGUGCGAGCGUUGUCCGGAAUUACUGGGCGUAAAGAGCUCGUAGGCGGUUUGUCGCGUCUGCUGUGAAAUCCCGAGGCUCAACCUCGGGCCUGCAGUGGGUACGGGCAGACUAGAGUGCGGUAGGGGAGAUUGGAAUUCCUGGUGUAGCGGUGGAAUGCGCAGAUAUCAGGAGGAACACCGAUGGCGAAGGCAGAUCUCUGGGCCGUAACUGACGCUGAGGAGCGAAAAGCGUGGGGAGCGAACAGG
rnacentral:rRNA from 1 species